AGUCGACAAGGUGACCGCAACAUGGUUUGCUGUGUUGAGGAAGGUCGGGGCUCCAUAGGACAGGAUGCUGGUUAACUGCCAGUCGGGGCGACUCGAAGGAAAGUGCCACAGAAAAUAAACCGCCGAUGACUACAACACCUAGUGUGUUGCAGAACAGGUAAGGGUGAAAUGGUGCGGUAAGAGCGCACCAGCAGUUAAGGAGACUUAAUUGGCUUGGUAAACCCCAUCCGGAGCAAGGCCAAAUUAGGAGAGGGCGGUCCGUCCGUAGAGACUCCAAGGUGGGCUGCAUAGAUGGAUGGUCACUCAGUCGGAUUUCCGUGAGGAACCGAGGGACAGAACCCCGCCUACUGUC
rnacentral:RNase_P_RNA from 1 species